rnacentral:rRNA from 1 species
UACGGGGGGAGCAAGCGUUGUUCGGAUUUACUGGGCGUAAAGCGCGUGUAGGCGGCUCGAUAAGUCUGCUGUGAAAGUCCAAGGCUCAACCUUGGGAUGCCGGUGGAUACUGUCGAGCUCGAGUCCGGAAGAGGAGUGUGGAAUUCCUGGUGUAGCGGUGAAAUGCGCAGAUAUCAGGAGGAACACCAAUGGCGAAGGCAGCACUCUGGGACGUGACUGACGCUGAGACGCGAAAGCGUGGGGAGCAAACAGG